rnacentral:rRNA from 1 species
AGCGAACGUUAGCGGCGCGCCUAACACAUGCAAGUCGCACGAGAAAGGAGCAAUCCCCGGUACAGUGGCGCACGGGUGAGUAACACGUAGAUGACCUUCCCUGGAGUGGUGGAUAACCUGCCGAAAGGCGGGCUAAUACAGCAUGGGACCACAUGGUUUUGACCGAGUGGUGAAAGCGGGCCUCUGUUCACAAGCUCGCGCUCUGGGAUGGGUCUGCGUCCCAUCAGCUAGUUGGUGAGGUAAUGGCUCACCAAGGCAUCGACGGGUAGCUGGUCUGAGAGGAUGACCAGCCANACUGGAACUGAGACACGGUCCAGA